CCUACGGGGGGCAGCAGUGAGGAAUAUUGGUCAAUGGACGAGAUCCUGAACCAGUCAUGCAGCGUGCAGGACGACUGCUCUAUGGGUUGUAAACUUCUUUUAUAUGGGGAUAAAAUGUUCCACGUGUGGGAUUUUGUAUGUACCAUAUGAAUAAGGAUCGGCUAACUCCGUGCCAGCAGCCGCGGUAAUACGGAGGAUCCGAGCGUUAUCCGGAUUCAUUGGGUUUAAAGGGUGCGUAGGUGGAUUGUUAAGUCAGUUGUGAAAGUUUGCGGCUCAACCGUAAAAUUGCAGUUGAUACUGGCAGUCUUGAGUACAGUAGAGGGAGGCGGAAUUCGUGGUGUAGCGGUGAAAUGCAUAGAUAUUACGAAGAACUCCGAUUGCGAAGGCAGUUCACUGGACUGCAACUGACACUGAGGCACGAAAGUGUGGGUAUCGAACAGGAUUAGAUACCCGAGUAGUC
rnacentral:rRNA from 1 species